AACGAACGCUGGCGGCAUGCCUAACACAUGCAAGUCGAACGAGACCUUCGGGUCUAGUGGCGCACGGGUGCGUAACGCGUGGGAACCUGCCUUUAGGUUCGGAAUAACUCCCCGAAAGGGGUGCUAAUACCGGAUAAUGUCUUCGGACCAAAGAUUUAUCGCCUUUAGAUGGGCCCGCGUAGGACUAGCUAGUUGGUGGGGUAAAGGCCUACCAAGGCGACGAUCCUUAGCUGGUCUGAGAGGAUGAUCAGCCGCACUGGGACUGAGACACGGCCCAGACUCCUACGGGAGGCAGCAGUGGGGAAUAUUGGACAAUGGGCGAAAGCCUGAUCCAGCAAUGCCGCGUGAGUGAUGAAGGCCUUAGGGUUGUAAAGCUCUUUUACCAGGGAUGAUAAUGACAGUACCUGGAGAAUAAGCUCCGGCUAACUCCGUGCCAGCCGCCGCGGUAACAC
rnacentral:rRNA from 1 species